UUGCUGUGAUGACUUAUCUUAGGACACCUUUGGAAUACCCAUGAAAAAAAAAAGUUAUUUCUGAGCAAC
rnacentral:snoRNA from 1 species